AGAGUUUGAUCCUGGCUCAGAGCGAACGCUGGCGGCAGGCUUAACACAUGCAAGUCGAGCGGGCGUAGCAAUACGUCAGCGGCAGACGGGUGAGUAACGCGUGGGAACAUACCUUUUGGUUCGGAACAACACAGGGAAACUUGUGCUAAUACCGGAUAAGCCCUUACGGGGAAAGAUUUAUCGCCGAAAGAUUGGCCCGCGUCUGAUUAGCUAGUUGGUGAGGUAACGGCUCACCAAGGCGACAAUCCGUAGCUGGUCUGAGAGGACGACCAGCCACACCGGAACUGAGACACGGUCCGGACUCCUACGGGAGGCAGCAGUGGGGAAUAUUGGACAAUGGGGGAAACCCUGAUCCAGCGACGCCGCGUGUGUGAAGAAGGCCUGCGGGUUGUAAA
rnacentral:rRNA from 1 species